GUUCCAUCUCACAGCCUGUGAGGCCCUGAUGGUAGAUAGUCCCUGGCAUGUACUCUCCCGGGCUUUUCAUUGAAGCUCAGCCUACGGGUUUCAUUUUCUACACAGGAUGAUCUGUGUCAAGUUUUCUGCUACUUAAUGGUUUGAGAUGAAUGGGGUUCUAUUGUGUCUGUAUUGUAUCUUGAUUUUUUUUUGGCAACAAAAUAGGGGGCAGUAUUUCAUAACAAUCAAGGUGGCUUGAAAUGAGAUAUUGUGAAAAGGUUCUUUUUACUUCCUGGCAUGAAAAAGACUUGAGUCGAAGCACUAAACUGGUUUCUUUUGUCCCCAGUUAUGUGUAAACAGACUGCUCCAACUCUGUCUCUAACCCUACUUUCCACUCACUACCGGGAUUUUUACUUUUCACAAGUAAAGCACAAAGGUAGUUUGAAAAAUAUCUUAGAACUGCAUAAGCUUUUAAGGAUGAGAGGUCACACAGUGGAGUGAUUGAGAAACCCAGGGUCUCUAAUCAGGCAAUAUAUUCAGAGAGGAUCCCCACAUGCUACGCCCUGUGCUGGGUGUGUAGGGGCUGGACAGGGACUGCUGUUAGGGUCCUGCCCCAUAAGAUUUUUCCUUCUGAUGACAGAGAUGGUCUUGGCAUAAAUCACAACACUGUCAGGCAGAGUGCUAAAAGUGAACCCACAAAAUGCUGUGGAGGGACCAGGGUCCACCCACCGAGCCCAUUACCAAAGUCUUCAUGGGGGAAGUGGCUUUGCUCUACCUGGAAAUCUGUAUGCUGGCAAAAUUCCCAUCCCCAUUGCCCACAGCUACUAUUCCGACUUGGCUCCGCUUCCCUGAGCUCAUCCUCCACCUUCUCGGGGGACAGCCUCAUUUUCUGCUUCAUUGAGAAAACAGAGAUCAUCAGAUGCCUCUGCUCUGCACCACGAGGACGCUGACCCUUCGGCCUCUAAGCUUGUCCAGUUCCACUUGAUGCUGUGACAUUGUGGCUCCAACCUGAGCAGUGGCAGGACCUUGGGCCAGUCCUCAUUCCUAUGAGAGGAACAGGAGUUCUCAUUCACAUUUCUUAUCUGGGAACUACGGAUAACGCCUGACUUACACAUUGUUUUAUUGGUUAAAUGACAUGACACAUGCAAAAAAGUAUUUGGCACAGUCCUGAACACUAAAGGACACCCUCUAAGGUGGCUGUUCUAUGAUCCGUUCCUUCUGGUAUAAACACCCUGGUAUAAUGCCCUCUCGCUAGCUGUGGACAGGACCUAUAACAUCCUUCCCAUCAAGAGAGUAUGGCAAAGGAGAUGGACUGUCAUUUUCAUUAUUAGGCAAUGAUAUGUAAUACUCCAUCAUCUUGCUAGCCAAUCUGCCCUGGAGACUUCCCCCUGCUGUUCAUUUAAGCAAGCAGCCAACUUCAGAAAGUCCGUGUGGCAAGGAACCUUGAUGACUCCUCAGCAGCUCAGGGCAGGCUCAGACCAACAGCCAGCAGAAAAUGAAAUCUCUCAGUCCUGUUACCACAAGGUACUGCAGGCUACAGCAACCACACAAGUAGGGUGGUGGAUCUUCCUCUGGUCAAGCCACCGAAUGAGAACCCAGCCCUGGCUGAUGACCUUGACUGUAGUCUUGUGAGACCUUAAGACAUGGAGCCAGCUAAACUGUUCCUGACCCCCAGAAGCUCUACAAACAUAGGCGUAGAUUCAGAAAUGUUUUAACUGUGUAAAAGCACAUUGUUUCAAGCCACUAAGCUUCUAAUUUGUUACACAGCAAUAGAUAACUAAUACACUGCGUGAUGAAUGCUAACUUUGUCAUAAUUCUAAGAAAGACCGUCUUUAGCAUUGUUCCUCCCUCCAGUCUCUGUCCUACCCUUAUAGCUUCCUGUCCGUGGUUACCAACCCUUGAAGGUAACCACUCUACAACAGUUCCCACGGAGCUAUUGUUCUCAGCCCAAACUAUGGGCACCUGGAGGGCAGCAGCUGUGUGAGGUCCACAAUCCUUGCUGAGAAGAGGUGCUCACAGCCGGGCCCCAGCCAAGGGACACCGCUUUCUAGUUUCCUCUGUGAUUAAUGAUGUGGUAAGUCAGAGUUUUGACAACAGUGUGUGGUGCCCCUGCUGAAAAUGAAACCCACUGAUGGCCCUUUAUGAAAAAGACAACAGGAGGGUGUGGAUCUGCUGACUUCUAAUGACUGUACUGUGAUGACAGUGGAGGGAGAUGGGGUGGGGCAGCCUGGACCUCAGAUGGGGGUCGGUGUGGGGGCAGCCUCGCAGGCUCACUCAGCAGGGCUCAGGUGCCCCAUUCUCCGGAGGCAAAGCCUCUAGACCCAUAACUGUCUUGAUGACCAAAUCCCUCCACUUGAGCCUUCUGUCCUCUGUUUGCGUAACAUUAAUGUAUUCACUCAUUCAACAAAUAUUUAUGUAAAUCUUACGCCUGCAAGAUACCAGUGACUGUUCUGGUGCUAGGGAUACAUCAAGGGCCCUGAUCUCUUUCAUGCCAGGGAGGAGGAGACAGACAAUAAAUAAAUCAACAAAUAAAC
rnacentral:lncRNA from 1 species